UUAAGUUAUUAAGGGCGCACGGUGGAUGCCUUGGCACUAGAAGCCGAUGAAGGACGUUACUAACGACGAUAUGCUUUGGGGAGCUGUAAGUAAGCUUUGAUCCAGAGAUUUCCGAAUGGGGAAACCCAACAUGAGUUAUGUCAUGUUAUCGAUAUGUGAAUACAUAGCAUAUCAGAAGGCACACCCGGAGAACUGAAACAUCUUAGUACCCGGAGGAAGAGAAAGAAAAUUCGAUUCCCUUAGUAGCGGCGAGCGAAACGGGAAGAGCCCAAACCAACAAGCUUGCUUGUUGGGGUUGUAGGACACUCUAUACGGAGUUACAAAGGACGACAUUAGACGAAUCAUCUGGAAAGAUGAAUCAAAGAAGGUAAUAAUCCUGUAGUCGAAAAUGUUGUCUCUCUUGAGUGGAUCCUGAGUACGACGGAGCACGUGAAAUUCCGUCGGAAUCUGGGAGGACCAUCUCCUAAGGCUAAAUACUCUCUAGUGACCGAUAGUGAACCAGUACCGUGAGGGAAAGGUGAAAAGCACCCCGGAAGGGGAGUGAAAUAGAACCUGAAACCGUGUGCUUACAAGUAGUCAGAGCCCGUUAAUGGGUGAUGGCGUGCCUUUUGUAGAAUGAACCGGCGAGUUACGAUUUGAUGCAAGGUUAAGCAGUAAAUGUGGAGCCGUAGCGAAAGCGAGUCUGAAUAGGGCGUUUAGUAUUUGGUCGUAGACCCGAAACCAGGUGAUCUACCCUUGGUCAGGUUGAAGUUCAGGUAACACUGAAUGGAGGACCGAACCGACUUACGUUGAAAAGUGAGCGGAUGAACUGAGGGUAGCGGAGAAAUUCCAAUCGAACCUGGAGAUAGCUGGUUCUCUCCGAAAUAGCUUUAGGGCUAGCCUCAAGUGAUGAUUAUUGGAGGUAGAGCACUGUUUGGACGAGGGGCCCCUCUCGGGUUACCGAAUUCAGACAAACUCCGAAUGCCAAUUAAUUUAACUUGGGAGUCAGAACAUGGGUGAUAAGGUCCGUGUUCGAAAGGGAAACAGCCCAGACCACCAGCUAAGGUCCCAAAAUAUAUGUUAAGUGGAAAAGGAUGUGGCGUUGCCCAGACAACUAGGAUGUUGGCUUAGAAGCAGCCAUCAUUUAAAGAGUGCGUAAUAGCUCACUAGUCGAGUGACACUGCGCCGAAAAUGUACCGGGGCUAAACAUAUUACCGAAGCUGUGGAUUGUCCUUUGGACAAUGGUAGGAGAGCGUUCUAAGGGCGUUGAAGCAUGAUCGCAAGGACAUGUGGAGCGCUUAGAAGUGAGAAUGCCGGUGUGAGUAGCGAAAGACGGGUGAGAAUCCCGUCCACCGAUUGACUAAGGUUUCCAGAGGAAGGCUCGUCCGCUCUGGGUUAGUCGGGUCCUAAGCUGAGGCCGACAGGCGUAGGCGAUGGAUAACAGGUUGAUAUUCCUGUACCACCUAUAAUCGUUUUAAUCGAUGGGGGGGACGCAGUAGGAUAGGCGAAGCGUGCGAUUGGAUUGCACGUCUAAGCAGUAAGGCUGAGUAUUAGGCAAAUCCGGUACUCAUUAAGGCUGAGCUGUGAUGGGGAGAAGACAUUGUGUCUUCGAGUCGUUGAUUUCACACUGCCGAGAAAAGCCUCUAGAUAGAAAAUAGGUGCCCGUACCGCAAACCGACACAGGUAGUCAAGAUGAGAAUUCUAAGGUGAGCGAGCGAACUCUCGUUAAGGAACUCGGCAAAAUGACCCCGUAACUUCGGGAGAAGGGGUGCUCUUUAGGGUUAACGCCCAGAAGAGCCGCAGUGAAUAGGCCCAAGCGACUGUUUAUCAAAAACACAGGUCUCUGCUAAACCGUAAGGUGAUGUAUAGGGGCUGACGCCUGCCCGGUGCUGGAAGGUUAAGAGGAGUGGUUAGCUUCUGCGAAGCUACGAAUCGAAGCCCCAGUAAACGGCGGCCGUAACUAUAACGGUCCUAAGGUAGCGAAAUUCCUUGUCGGGUAAGUUCCGACCCGCACGAAAGGCGUAACGAUUUGGGCACUGUCUCAACGAGAGACUCGGUGAAAUCAUAGUACCUGUGAAGAUGCAGGUUACCCGCGACAGGACGGAAAGACCCCGUGGAGCUUUACUGUAGCCUGAUAUUGAAAUUCGGCACAGCUUGUACAGGAUAGGUAGGAGCCUUUGAAACGUGAGCGCUAGCUUACGUGGAGGCGCUGGUGGGAUACUACCCUAGCUGUGUUGGCUUUCUAACCCGCACCACUUAUCGUGGUGGGAGACAGUGUCAGGCGGGCAGUUUGACUGGGGCGGUCGCCUCCUAAAAGGUAACGGAGGCGCUCAAAGGUUCCCUCAGAAUGGUUGGAAAUCAUUCAUAGAGUGUAAAGGCAUAAGGGAGCUUGACUGCGAGACCUACAAGUCGAGCAGGGUCGAAAGACGGACUUAGUGAUCCGGUGGUUCCGCAUGGAAGGGCCAUCGCUCAACGGAUAAAAGCUACCCCGGGGAUAACAGGCUUAUCUCCCCCAAGAGUUCACAUCGACGGGGAGGUUUGGCACCUCGAUGUCGGCUCAUCGCAUCCUGGGGCUGUAGUCGGUCCCAAGGGUUGGGCUGUUCGCCCAUUAAAGCGGUACGCGAGCUGGGUUCAGAACGUCGUGAGACAGUUCGGUCCCUAUCCGUCGUGGGCGUAGGAAAUUUGAGAGGAGCUGUCCUUAGUACGAGAGGACCGGGAUGGACAUACCUCUGGUGUACCAGUUGUCGUGCCAACGGCAUAGCUGGGUAGCUAUGUGUGGACGGGAUAAGUGCUGAAAGCAUCUAAGCAUGAAGCCCCCCUCAAGAUGAGAUUUCCCAACUUCGGUUAUAAGAUCCCUCAAAGAUGAUGAGGUUAAUAGGUUCGAGGUGGAAGCAUGGUGACAUGUGGAGCUGACGAAUACUAAUCGAUCGAAGACUUAAUCAA
rnacentral:rRNA from 1 species